AAAAAAACCCUCAUCUUACUGAAGAUUGAAUGAGCUAAUCCAGGGCUCCUCCUCUGGAUACCCAAGAAAUAUAAACGCUGAAAUGCAGAUGCAUCAUCAUGCCACCCUCAUCUGUUUGGCUCAGCCUUGUGGCCAUGGUCACAGUCUCAAUCAAGUCCCUGUUGGCACCUCGGCUGACACCUUCUCCAGAGGAAGGAAGGAGUGAAAGGGGGCUGAUUUCUAGUUUGCUCUGUAUCACUUGACCUGGUUCUGCUGAAGCAGAAUUUUGGAACUUAACCUAGUUCCAAAGGCAUCCUAAAAUUUGAGUGAUUCUUUGGAG